rnacentral:rRNA from 1 species
GAGGCCCUUUGGCGGCGCGCCUAACACAUGCUAGUCGAACGAGCGAGAGAGAGCUUGCUUUCUCGAGCGAGUGGCGAACGGGUGAGUAACGCGUGAGGAACCUGCCUCAAAGAGGGGGACAACAGUUGGAAACGACUGCUAAUACCGCAUAAGCCCACGGUGCCGCAUGGCACAGAGGGAAAAGGAGCAAUCCGCUUUGAGAUGGCCUCGCGUCCGAUUAGCUAGUUGGUGAGGUAACGGCCCACCAAGGCGACGAUCGGUAGCCGGACUGAGAGGUUGAACGGCCACAUUGGGACUGAGACACGGCCCAGACUCCUACGGGAGGCAGCAGUGGGGAAUAUUGCACAAUGGGGGAAACCCUGAUGCAGCGACGCCGCGUGGAGGAAGAAGGUCUUCGGAUUGUAAACUCCUGUUGUUGGGGAAGAUAAUGACGGUACCCAACAAGGAAGUGACGGCUAACUACGUGCCAGCAGCCGCGGUAAAACGUAGGUCACGAGCGUUGUCCGGAAUUACUGGGUGUAAAGGGAGCGCAGGCGGGAAGACAAGUUGGAAGUGAAAUCUAUGGGCUCAACCCAUAAACUGCUUUCAAAACUGUUUUUCUUGAGUAGUGCAGAGGUAGGCGGAAUUCCCGGUGUAGCGGUGGAAUGCGUAGAUAUCGGGAGGAACACCAGUGGCGAAGGCGGCCUACUGGGCACCAACUGACGCUGAGGCUCGAAAGUGUGGGUAGCAAACGGGAUUAGAUACCCUGGUAGUCCACACCGUAAACGAUGAUUACUAGGUGUUGGAGGAUUGACCCCUUCAGUGCCGCAGUUAACACAAUAAGUAAUCCACCUGGGGAGUACGACCGCAAGGUUGAAACUCAAAGGAAUUGACGGGGGCCCGCGCAAGCAGUGGAGUAUGUGGUUUAAUUCGACGCAACGCGAAGAACCUUACCAAGUCUUGACAUCCCUUGACAGGCAUAGAAAUAUGUUUUCUCUUCGGAGCAAGGAGACAGGUGGUGCAUGGUUGUCGUCAGCUCGUGUCGCGAGAUGUUGGGUUAAGUCCCGCAACGAGCGCAACCCUUAUGGUCAGUUACUACGUAAGAGGACUCUGGCCAGACUGCCGUUGACAUAACGGAGGAAGGCGGGGAUGACGUCAAAUCAUCAUGCCCUUUAUGACUUGGGCUACACACGUACUACAAUGGCGUUAAACAAAGAGAAGCAAGACCGCGAGGCGGAGCAAAACUCAGAAACAACGUCCCAGCUCGGACUGCAGGCUGCAACUCGCCUGCACGAAGUCGGAAUUGCUAGUAAUCGUGGAUCAGCAUGCCACGGUGAAUACGUUCCCGGGCCUUGCACA